AGAGUUUGAUUAUGGCUCAGGAGUGAACGCUGGCGGCGUGCUUAACACAUGCAAGUCGAACGGAGUUUUAACGGAAGUUUCGGAUGGAAAAGUUUAAGAACCGUUAGUGGCGGACGGGUGAGGUAACGCGUGGGUAACCUGACCUCAUACAGGGGGAUAACAGUUAGAAAUGACUGCUAACACCGCAUAAUAUAGUGAAACCGCAUGAUUUUUGCUAGUCAAAUAUUUAUAGGUAUGAGAUGGGCCCGCGUCUGAUUAGCUAGUUGGUGGGGUAAAAGCCUACCAAGGCGACGAUCAGUAGCCGGCUUGAGAGAGUGACCGGCCACAUUGGGACUGAGACACGGCCCAAACUCCUACGGGAGGCAGCAGUGGGGAAUAUUGGACAAUGGGGGAAACCCUGAUCCAGCGAACCGGCCGCGUGAGUGAAGAAGUAUUUCGGUAUGUAAAGCUCUAUCAGCAGGGAAGAUAAUGACAGUACCUGACUAAGAAGCCCCGGCUAACUACGUGCCAGCCGCAGC
rnacentral:rRNA from 1 species